rnacentral:snoRNA from 1 species
UCCAAAUAGACUGUAAUAUCUUUAAAAACAUAUUACAUUACACACAGGUGGAAACAGUAAAUCCUCUUUUGCAACCCAGAAUUCAUUAUUGAGUAUGAGUUUCAGUACAGUAAGAAGGAAUAUA